rnacentral:pre_miRNA from 1 species
GGGAUUCGGGUAAAGUGCAAACGGAUAAAUAUUCCACCGAUACUCUUGAUUAUUUACCUUGAAUCGGUGGGAUUUUCGUCCGUCUGCAAGUUGCUCUGUUUAUCUA